rnacentral:rRNA from 1 species
CCUACGGGUGGCAGCAGUGGGGGAUAUUGCACAAUGGGGGGAACCCUGAUGCAGCGACGCCGCGUGGGUGAAGAUGCGCCUCGGCGCGUAAAGCCCUGUCAUCAGGGAGGAAAAUGACGGUACCUGAAGAAGAAGCCCCUGCUAACUACGUGCCAGCAGCCGCGGUAAUACGGAGGGGGCACGCGUUAUCCGACUUUACUGGGUGUAUAGGGGGCUCAGCCGGCGAUGCAAGCCAGGAGUGAAGGCCCGGGGCCCAACCCCGGGACUGCCCUUGGAACUGCGUGGCUGGAGUGCAGGUGGGGCAGGAGGAAUGCGUGGUGUAGCGGUGAAAUGCGUAGAUAUCAGGAGGAACACCGGUGGCGAAGGCGGCCUGCGGGACUGCAACUGACGUUGAGGCACGAAAGCGUGGGGAGCAAACAGGAUUAGAUACCCGGGUAGUC